CCUACGGGUGGCAGCAGUGAGGAAUAUUGGUCAAUGGGCGUAAGCCUGAACCAGCCAAGUCGCGUGAGGGAUGAAGGUUCUAUGGAUCUUAAACUUCUUUUGUAGGGGAGUAAAGUGUGGGACGUGUGCUAUUUUGUAUGUACCUUAUGAAUAAGGAUCGGCUAACUCCGUGCCAGCAGCCGCGGUAAUACGGAGGGUGCGAGCGUUAUCCGGAUUUAUUGGGUUUAAAGGGUGCGGAGGCGGGCUGGUAAGUCAGGGGUGAAAGCCCGGGGCUCAACCAGAGAAUGGCCGUGGAAUCUGGCGGGCUGGAGUGUGUGAGAGGAAGGCGGAAUGCGUGGUGUAGGGGUGAAAUGCGUAGAUAUCACGCAGAACACCGAUUGCGAAGGCAGCUAACCGGCGCAUAACUGACGCUGAGGCACGAAAGCGUGGGGAUCAAACAGGAUUAGAUACCCGAGUAGUC
rnacentral:rRNA from 1 species